AUCUGCACAGCCUGCUUUUGCUGAAAUCUACUUAAGUGCUCCAAGACAGUGAGUGUGUCACCUCUGCACAGGUCUGGUCCCAUCACUGCCAAGCUUUGCACUGGCACCCAAUGUGCAAUCAGGAGGUGAACUCUCAAUAGCUUAAGAGAAGAUUUGAAGAUGUAUAUGAAGACAUGGCUCCAGAGGGUACUUUGUCAGCAUUGUGAUCCCAAGGGACCAAUGUGCUGUGGUGGUAUGGAGAGCAGGCUCUUCACCUUGUCUGCACCUGCUUGGUUGAGCAUCACCCCAGUGAAGUGCAGCCAAGCUUUUGGUGAGGUUGACUGGACCCACCCCAGCGAGGAUCUGCAGCUAGUGAUCCAAAGCCUAUGCAAGAUGAGCAGCAAGGGUGCAAAUACACCCUAAAGCACUUCAGCCAUCAUCAGCUACUAGAAGGAGAACUAACCUGAAAUCCAUCAUUCCUGUGUGGAAGCCAAAUGACUGAAAAAUCAUUACAUGUGCCAGCUCUUAAGUGCUGUGUGAUGAGGUGCUUAGCAGUUGAUCAUGUAAGAAAAGAAACCGCUUUAUGAAAGAGAGGGAGGGGAAAGACAGAAGAAUCUGCCUACACCGAACUGAGCCCUCUCCAAGAGAUGAGACACAGGUUUUGUUGCACUGAAGUAACUGCUAAAAAAGAAAAAAAUUGAACUUUGUGGAGUCCCAAUAGUAAUGGCUGCAGUCUCCAGCUGUGUCAUUGCCCUAAUGAAAGAUCCUGCUUUUCACUGCGAAACCUGGUGAAAACAUUCACCCUGAGAGCAGAUCCACUUAGGAGCAUGCUGCAGCCAGCAGUCCUCCCACUGCGCAGCGUUUCAGCACCCCUUUAUUAGUCCUUUAGGAUUUUUUACCUAAUUACCUAUCUUCAGCCCCAGAUCUCUUUGUGAGAAGCUGAUCUGCUGGGCAUAGCUUCACCACCCACCCAUUCUUGCUAAGCACAAGUGCCACAGUCUCUUCCAGCUCAUACCUUGCCUAUAACUUAAAGAAAACAUGGGUGUUUCAACAAGUUCAGCUAAGCAUCAGGGACUUCUCCGUUGCUCACCACUCAUCCCAGCAUGGGUCAGUGUCUAUCCAGACCCAAUGGGGUUUCA